CAAGUCGAACGGUAACAGGAAGCAGCUUGCUGCUUUGCUGACGAGUGGCGGACGGGUGAGUAAUGUCUGGGAAACUGCCUGAUGGAGGGGGAUAACUACUGGAAACGGUGGCUAAUACCGCAUAACGUCGCAAGACCAAAGAGGGGGACCUUCGGGCCUCUUGCCAUCAGAUGUGCCCAGAUGGGAUUAGCUUGUUGGUGAGGUAACGGCUCACCAAGGCGACGAUCCCUAGCUGGUCUGAGAGGAUGACCAGCCACACUGGAACUGAGACACGGUCCAGACUCCUACGGGAGGCAGCAGUGGGGAAUAUUGCACAAUGGGCGCAAGCCUGAUGCAGCCAUGCCGCGUGUAUGAAGAAGGCCUUCGGGUUGUAAAGUACUUUCAGCGGGGAGGAAGGUGUUGUGGUUAAUAACCGCAGCAAUUGACGUUACCCGCAGAAGAAGCACCGGCUAACUCCGUGCCAGCAGCCGCGGUAAUACGGAGGGUGCAAGCGUUAAUCGGAAUUACUGGGCGUAAAGCGCACGCAGGCGGUCUGUCAAGUCGGAUGUGAAAUCCCCGGGCUCAACCUGGGAACUGCAUUCGAAACUGGCAGGCUUGAGUCUUGUAGAGGGGGGUAGAAUUCCAGGUGUAGCGGUGAAAUGCGUAGAGAUCUGGAGGAAUACCGGUGGCGAAGGCGGCCCCCUGGACAAAGACUGACGCUCAGGUGCGAAAGCGUGGGGAGCAAACAGGAUUAGAUACCCUGGUAGUCCACGCCGUAAACGAUGUCUACUUGGAGGUUGUGCCCUUGAGGCGUGGCUUCCGGAGCUAACGCGUUAAGUAGACCGCCUGGGGAGUACGGCCGCAAGGUUAAAACUCAAAUGAAUUGACGGGGGCCCGCACAAGCGGUGGAGCAUGUGGUUUAAUUCGAUGCAACGCGAAGAACCUUACCUGGUCUUGACAUCCACAGAAGAAUCCAGAGAUGGAUUUGUGCCUUCGGGAACUGUGAGACAGGUGCUGCAUGGCUGUCGUCAGCUCGUGUUGUGAAAUGUUGGGUUAAGUCCCGCAACGAGCGCAACCCUUAUCCUUUGUUGCCAGCGGUUAGGCCGGGAACUCAAAGGAGACUGCCAGUGAUAAACUGGAGGAAGGUGGGGAUGACGUCAAGUCAUCAUGGCCCUUACGACCAGGGCUACACACGUGCUACAAUGGCGCAUACAAAGAGAAGCGACCUCGCGAGAGCAAGCGGACCUCAUAAAGUGCGUCGUAGUCCGGAUUGGAGUCUGCAACUCGACUCCAUGAAGUCGGAAUCGCUAGUAAUCGUGGAUCAGAAUGCCACGGUGAAUACGUUCCCGGGCCUUGUACACACCGCCCGUCACACCAUGGGAGUGGGUUGCAAAAGAAGUAGGUAGCUUAACCUUCGGGAGGGCGCUUACCACUUUGUGAUUCAUGACUGGGGUGAAGUCGUAACAAGGUAACCGUAGGGGAACCUGCGGUUGGA
rnacentral:rRNA from 3 species